rnacentral:lncRNA from 1 species
AGGGCCAUGGAUUGAACCUGCACCUUCAUGGAUGCUAGUCGGGUUUGUUUCUGCUGAGCCACAACAGGAGCUACACAUUGGUUUUUUUAUUUUACUGCUCUUGUCCCAUACUGAACUGUACACUCACCAUAUAUCUCCAUCAAAAUAUACUUCCAGAAUUUAUUAUUCUUAAUACUGGGUGGUUAAAUUUACUAUCUAGCUUAGGUUAUAGACCUUACUGCAUCCUAGUAGCAAGAGUCUCUUAUCUAUCAUUUGAACUAAAAAGAAUCAUGCCUUUAAUGUGAAUUUUACCCAUUCGGUGUUGAGCAGAGAAGUGGUAUAAUCUGCGGCAUGGUUUUCCAAAUACAUUCAACAUUUCAGCCACUCACAUUUUAUUUAAAUACAGACAUGUCAUCAUAGUCUUAGGAGAACAAAAGCAUAUUUUUAUACAUGCAACAACACCAAAAGUGUCUAUAAAAAUCUAGAGGUUGGAAAAUUUACGUUAGACAUUUUAAAUAUCAUCCAUAUUUUUGCAUCACUUGCUUUCUUGUUCAAGAGAAACUCAAAAAUAUGAUUUAAUCAAUAUUUAUUUUUAAAAGUUAUUUAAAAGUCUACUAUGUAUGAUAAAACUUUGAAAAACUGAUGUCUAAAAUGUUAAAGCAAUUUAUUUUUUCUUGUCAAAACACUUAUGAAUCAUCUAUUGUAGAAUUCUAUUUGGUCCUUUACUAUCCUGUCUUCUCUGCUUAUUCCCGGUUUAAUGACAGGCAAAGUGUGAAGAAACGUUAAUUAUCUAAGGUUACUCAUCACGACCUCCCUGUCUACUCCAUUGUCUAGUUUGAUGCUGAUGCUGAUCUCUGGGUAGUUUCCGUCUCUUAUUUCUUCUAUCCUCCACUCUCAUUUCACCAGUAUAACCAAUUCCUUGCAUUACCCUCCUGUUUUAAAUGCCCAGAAUGCUUUCAAUUUAUUUGGGGGGUUUAAAUUCUUCAUGAUCCAUUUCCCCUCAUCAUAUUUCUAUUUGGUUAGUUUUUUUUGUGUCUGUUUUGACCUCAUGCACAGUGAGUGAAAAUUCCCCGAUCAGGUAUCGAACUCCAGCCACAGCAGUGAUGCUGUGUGCUUUAGCCACUCGCCGACCUGGUAAGUCCUCCCCUUCAUAUUUUAAAGCCUUAAAACCAGGAGUUACAAGGAGAAUCAGUUCCAAGGAAUGAAUUAUCCCUUAGAAAAUGAAAUAAAUACAGUAAUCUCUUCCA